rnacentral:rRNA from 1 species
AUUGAACGCUGGCGGCAUGCCUUACACAUGCAAGUCGAACGGUAACAGGUCUUCGGAUGCUGACGAGUGGCGAACGGGUGAGUAAUACAUCGGAACGUGCCUAGUAGUGGGGGAUAACUACUCGAAAGAGUGGCUAAUACCGCAUGAGAUCUACGGAUGAAAGCAGGGGAUCGCAAGACCUUGUGCUACCAGAGCGGCCGAUGGCAGAUUAGGUAGUUGGUGGGAUAAAAGCUUACCAAGCCGACUAUCUGUAGCUGGUCUGAGAGGACGAUCAGCCACACUGGGACUGAGACACGGCCCAGACUUCUACGGGAGGCAGCAGUGGGGAACUUUGGACAAUGGGCGCAAGCCUGAUCCAGCAAUGCCGCGUGCAGGAUGAAGGCCUUCGGGUUGUAAACUGCUUUUGUACGGAACGAAAAGCCCCGGGUUAAUACCCUGGGGUCAUGACGGUACCGUAAGAAUAAGCACCCGCUAACUACGUGCCAGCAGCCGCAGUAA